GAGGAGAAUAGCUCAGCUGUUCAGAGCACCCCGACGCACUCGUUUUCGAAGAAAACAUGCGUGUCGGGAGGGUCCGCGGUUCGAACCCGUGUACUCCCA
rnacentral:tRNA from 1 species